rnacentral:rRNA from 1 species
GACGGAGGAUGCAAGUGUUAUCCGGAAUCACUGGGCGUAAAGCGUCUGUAGGUGGUUUAAAAAGUCUAUUGUUAAAAAUUGAAGCCUAACUUCAAAGAUGCAAUGGAAACUUUUAAACUUGAGUAUGGUAGGGGUAGAGGGAAUUUCCAGUGGAGCGGUGAAAUGCGUAGAUAUUGGAAAGACCACCAAUGGCGAAGGCACUCUACUGGGCCAUUACUGACACUGAGAGACGAAAGCUAGGGGAGCAAAUGGG